rnacentral:lncRNA from 1 species
UGUGAUUGUACAGAGCAUUUAUGAAAAAAAAAAGUCUGGAAAGAUUGUACAAGGGCAAAAAAAUCCAAUAGAUAAAUCUGGUAGGUGUAUAUGAUGAGAUUAAUUCCACCUGUAACUAUAUGAGAAUGGUAAGAGAACAGAGCCUGUGAUAGCUAUAUUCCUGUUCCUAAAAAAAAAAAAAAAGAAAUUGUUCCUAUCAAUGAGAAGUCACUUACUUAUUUUUAAAAACAAACUUUUUUUUAAAAGAUUUAUCUUGAAUUAGAUUUAAUGUUUGGCAAGUGGGAAAACAGUAUGGAAAAACUUCCCGGAUUAUCCUUCUACUUCCAAAUGCAUUCACAGAAGCCCAGUGAAAGGAAAUCAAGCUGACUCUAUGGGUAUUGAUUUUGUAGUUCAUAGGCAAAGAUUAGUGCUAGAAUAUACAAAAAAGACUUGUUUAUAAAUGAACACAUUCUGAUUGUCUACAGCUGUUUCAAGACAUAUCAUCUUUUAUUACUUAGGAUGGUAAAGGAAAUCUUUAUUCUGAAAUGAGGCAUGAAAACCAACUUUAAAUGUUUUUUCCUCAUCUUUCUUGAUUCAUGAUGUUAUUCAAAACAUAAGACAUUGUGACAACUUGAAAUUCAAGGCAUUGAAAAUGCUCCAGAAGACUCGGCAGUGGUCAGCAUAAGAAGACACUGUGUUCUAGUCACUGUAUCCUGAGUUCCCCCACAAAGACCUCUACCUACUGUUAAAGAGUUGAUGACAUUCAUAAUUUUUGCCAAACAUUUUCGAAGUCAACCAAGCCAUUUCAUUUUGAAGCCAGGAUCAUUUUGCCAGUUUUACCUUCAGAAAAAUCAGGGAAUUUGUAACCUUUAAAAAGUUACUUAAGGUAUGGAAUUUCAACACAUUUCCUUGCCAAUGUAGUGUGAAAUUCUGCAGUCUUGGGCCAUUGAGAAAAACUUAACUCUUUUAAAAUUUAAAAUCCUCCAAUAUUGGACUAACUGUAAAUCUUUAAUAACCUUAGUUCACAGAGUGGAACAUUCUCAUUUCAAAAUUAUUCAUUCUGAAUGGCAAUGUUAAUCUAAAUUAGAUCCUUAGAAGUCGGCUUUCCUUUCCUCUUCUUUCAAACUUUAGCAUUCUAGAAUGAAAGAAGCAUUGGGAAUACUUUUAGACACAUUUGGAUUAUGGAGUACUUUGAUAACAGGUCAUACAACUGUCAGCAGAAUUUAACGAAUUGACUACAAUAAUUGAAGAGAGAGAGGACUUGAGAGUAAUAUUUUUAGCUGUGUAAUUAUUUGUUCAGUCUCAAUGUAAUAUUCAUAGAUAUAAUAGAUUAUCCUGUAAUAUGAAUCUUGCUUGGUUAUGAAUUAUCUUGCACAAUGUACAUAAUUCCAAUUUAAUAUUAAUUUAAUGUUUAUUAGAAAGAUCCAUAAUAAAGCUCUAAAAGGUACAAAGCUACUAGUAGCAUUAACUGUGUUGGCAUACAAUAGAGUAAGCAGAUUAGAGAGUGAAAGUGACUUGAGGCAAAAAUACUUGUAUUUCAGAAAUAUUUAUAAAAUAUUCAUGUUUCCUUGAGACAAGGUGUGGCUAGACAAGAAAUAUCUGGUGUGGAAAGUGUUUAGAGUUCCCUGUGGAAUUAGCAGAAUAAAAUUAUAAUAUGGUAUACUUCAAUUUUAUUUGAACACAUCAGUAGCAUUUGGUACACUAAGAUUUUUAUCACGCUGAACGAUUUCAUUAUUUUUUCCUGGAAUUUUUUUCUUUGUAAUUCUAAUUUAGGUCCUGCUACCUCACCAGAAGUCUGCCAAUUUGGUUCUGCCCUUCUUCUGUUCAUAUUGUGAUUGAAAAGAUCUGGUUAUCCAAAUGGAAGCUUUUUUUCCUCAUAUAGUCUUCCUUGACUUCUUCAUAUAAAGUCAAAGUUCGCCUUUCACAUGCCUUCUUAAACAUCAUAGUUUGCAUUUACCUUUGAAAUACUCUAAUGGGACACAAAGUAAAUGAGAAAAAUUUGUGUCACGUAUUACUAUGAGAGAGAAAGAAACAUCAAAACAUAGUUGAAAUGAAGACAUCUGAAUAAUAACUUAAAGGUCCUAAAUGUUAGAGACGUGCUGACUUUUCAGUUUUUGAAAGAGGGUAUAGCAACAACUUUAUUAAGAAUGAAAAUAGGCAAAACCAUAAUAACUACCUGUUUCAUUGCAAAAGUCACAAAGUUAUUUCCUCUGCAGCUGUAAAUAAAAGGAAUCAAAGUAUGGUAAGUAUGUGAAUAGGUGAAAUUUAAAGAUUUAUUUCACUUUUAAAACAAAGGGGUAAGUAGAAGUAAACAGGAUAUUUAACAAAUAGGAAAGAUUCCUCUUCUGGCCUAGGCAGGAAAGAAGCAGCUACCAACACUUUUUAAUUAGAAGUGAAAAUUCAGAUAUUUAUCAAUAUUUUUCAGAUGGCUUAAAAAUGAUGGAUUUGGUGAUUUCAAAAAUGAAUUUAUGGUUGGGAUCCAUUAAAUCUAUUUUAUGAUCUCAAAGAAUCUCUCCACGUUGAAUUAAUUCACUUGCACAAAAAUGCUUCUAUAAGAUAUUUUGUAAUGUUUCUGCUUCACUCUUAUGCUUCCAUGUUCCUAAUUUAUUAAUGCACAGAAAUCUAACAUAAGAAAUAUUUAAAGUAUUUUUAGAAAUGCAUAGCAAGUAUUUAUGCGGUAAGUUAUAAUCAUGAACUAAUUAAAUCUUAAUACCUUGGUACUACAAUAUACUAGGAAGAUUGUACAAUCGUUAUUUAUCUCAGAUACUUUUGUUAGAGAAGAAAAUAUAUUCAUGUCAAUAUUUUUAGAAUUGCUCAAAAUCGAAUUAGGGUUUGGGUUUAUUUAUCUCUCUCUCUCUCUCUAAAUCUGAAUUGACAUUCACAGUAGUUCUAUAGUGUUUUGUUUGUUCCAAAAACAUCUCAAGCGGUAGCACUUUGGUACAGUACAAAUGAAUAACUAAAGAUAGAUUAUUCUUUCACUAAUAGGAGAUGAUUAUUGAUGAGAUUGGAGUUGAUCUUGGACAACCCAGAAACUAUUUUUCUUUUCCCUGUUGGUCUCUAUGAUGCAGAAAGUCAAUCUAACCUUUUUAAUGUCAUUUUUUAAAGUAAUCAAACCAGUCAAUCAAUCUGAACAUGUGUGGGGAAAAAGCUGAAGAUAUUGCGUAAAACUAAGUCUACAGGUUCUAUGUGAAUAUUACCAAUUCUCUUAUAUGUUUAUCUCCAUUACCAUGAAAAGUUUCAUCAUACCAACUAAGUUUAAAACACUAAAUUUUAAAGAUCUUUUAUCAAUAUGUUGACACUUUUAGGUUAAUGGAAAUUUUAAAAAUACAUAUCAUAAACCACACUUUAAUUUAGAGUCUUUGUGAAUUUGUUGGACAGGAAGUUAAGGGUAUUUCCAUCAUCAUCAUUUGAUUAAUGCAGUUUCCUGAUUAUUUUUAUUUCAAAGUAAUUGUUCUCACACAAGAGCUUUUUUGUCAUUAUGAUUAUUCUAGCAUAGCAAUUUAUUAUUCAACUAUGGUAUUUUUAACUUUGAUAGAGUGGAACCAGAGGGAUACUCAAAAAACUUAAUGGAAGUUAAACCUAUUUCUCCCUCACAAAAUGUAGAUUUCUCCAUAAAUAUCAAUUAGGAACAUGGGCUGUGCAACAAUCCAAUAGUCUGUGAAUCAGCUAAACAUGAGGUUUGUUAGCUAAUGUCCUGAUAAAGUACCAUAGAAAUAGACCUCAAAAAUAAAAAAAGAAGUUUAAGAGUAAAAUAUUAUAAAAAUAUUAUUUUACUAGGAAAUAAUAAUGAGUCUGUCUCAUUGGCAUAACUUUAACUCGCAGCUAUCAGUUAUGUGCUAUGUUUGUACAGUACGUCUGUUUGAUGAAAAUUUACCUCUAGAAAAUCAGAUAAACACAUCAGAAAUAUGCAGAUAAGUAGGUCAUGAAUGGCACAGGGUACUGAAACAUAGUCAACCAAAGGUGGUAAAAAAAACAAGAAAAAAUUUAAAAUUAUUAAUUUUUCAAUAGCUACAGAAGGAAAUACAUGGGGAAAGAAUCAAGCUCAGGAAUUCAACCCUUGCUAGUGUAGAACGGACUAAAUCAAUACAUGUUAGAUAUACACAAAUUUCUAUUGAAAUGUAUACAUAAUUAACUCCUUUAUCUACAGUUUUGUUUGUAUUAUAGUGGCAUAAAACUUGGGGGAACAAUCUCUUUCUGUAAAAGUCUUUGGGAUCUUAAGUCUUUCUAAAAGCACAAUUCUGAUGUACUCAAAUUUUAAAAUCUCAUCCUUUCAUCUUGAUUCAAGAGCUUGGUAGUAACUGACAGUACUAAAUCGCCUUCUGCAUCAGUUUGUGUUCAAUUGAUUUUCCUCAGCUUGGUCUAUGUAAAGCUGGGGAGGCUACCUGUUUCAAAUUUCCACGUAAUGAAACGUAAGAGAUAACGGGCAGGGAGGUAGCAAUAUCAGAAAAUCAGAAUUGGCAGCAUCAGCAAGCUGAGUUGAGGUAGUUUCCCCAUUGUUCUGUGAAACUAGCUUCUUACCGACAGAGCUGCUUUCACAUAGAUUUCUGUUGAAUUGGCAAAACAAGCAUAAGUGCUCAUAAUCCACAGAUCACAUCUGUGUUUCUGAAGUUACCUUAAACUUGUCUAAAAAGGGUUCUUUCAUUGCCAGAUGUACUCUAUGCAACAGAUAGGCUAACCACCUGUCAGGUGCUAAUAUUGCCAUAGUGUGGUAUGUGAGAACCUAAUUACCAGUAAAGCUUGAGGGUCUCCUGCAACUUAAAAAAAAAAAAAAAUCCAGAUACUUAAAAAAUACUUAUGUUAAGUGACCAAAAAGGAAUGAUGCAUAAGAUAUUCUGAGGUGAUAUUAAGGUUUUGAUGUACUCUGGCCCAGCAUAGAAAAUCUUUUUUUGUCUUAUAUUUUUAAACUAUAUAUAGGUUACUGGCUAUUCUGUAAACUACUCCUUCUCAUCUUAAUUUAGGAAAUUAAUUUAUAGAUGGGUGGUGUUUAGAUUUUGGGAGAAAAAAGAAAAAAACAAAUCAUCGGACUAUCACAUAGUAUAAGAGAAAUUAUAAUUUGGCAAAUUCAUUCUGACUUUGCUCUAGAAGGGAUUCCAUCCUUAGACAGACACUCUUGGUAAAGCUUCUUCAGUAAUUGGAGAUCUGCAAAGUUACUUUGAAAGGGCUUUUUUUCCGUAUAGAGGACAAGAAAAAUUAGCAUAAAUAACUUCUAUUAUCUUUAUAAAAUGGAUAUUCUUUUUUGCCACUAUUCUGGCAGUUUUUAGCCAAUUGAGUGACUUUAAAUUUCUACCAUCAAGAUGGAACUUACAAGGAAGGAAAAUACGUGACCCACCCACUCAUCCAAUUCAAUACUUAAAUCUCUGAUUGAAGCUGGUUUUUAUAGCAGGCAUAGUGACUGCAGCUGUUUUAUAAAAUAAGCACACAGUAACAUAUAUUAACCUGCUUAACAGUGAGUAAUAUAUCUUUUUUUUUCCAACAUAAACGUGUCCAUCCUAUUUUCCUGGUUUACUCUCUCUGCAAAAACGGUAUAAUUUUGUGCUUAGGUUA